rnacentral:rRNA from 1 species
UACCAGCACCCCCGAGUGGUCGGGACGUUUAUUGGGCCUAAAGCAUCCGUAGCCGGUUCUACAAGUCUUCCGUUAAAUCCAUCUGCUUAACAGAUGGGCUGCGGAAGAUACUAUAGAGCUAGGAGGCGGGAGAGGCAAGCGGUACUCGAUGGGUAGGGGUAAAAAUCCGUUGAUCCAUUGAAGACCACCAGUGGCGAAGGCGGUUGUCCAGAACGCGCUCGACGGUGAGGGAUGAAAGCUGGGGGGAGCAAACCGG